rnacentral:rRNA from 1 species
UUUAAUUCGAAGCAACGCGAAGAACCUUACCUAAGCUUGACAUCCCAAUGACAUCUCCUUAAUCGGAGAGUUCCCUUCGGGGACAUUGGAGACAGGUGGUGCAUGGUUGUCGUCAGCUCGUGUCGUGCGAUGUUGGGUUAAGUCCCGCAACGAGCGCAACCCUUGUCUUUAGUUGCCAUCAUUAAGUUGGGCACUCUAGAGAGACUGCCAGGGAUAA